rnacentral:lncRNA from 1 species
CUCGACAUCGCAAUUGGGUGGAAGCACACAAGUGUACUCAUUCUAGGCUCUUAGUGUCAUGUUGUCGGCCGCCAACACAAUCACUGCGAGUCGAGAACUCAUACCACUUGAAUUCGUUUCUAGUCACAACUAGAAACAUACUCCAAUCCUGACCCAAUUGAUCAACUUCCGCCAUUGUCACAGGUUCACGUCUCACUCACGCACCUAUAACCUUAA